UGGGCAGGACGUCUCCAUCUGCAACUACUGGAACGACCCACAUCACCGGGACCUUUAUCUCAACAGCAGCAACUCCCCUCGCCUCUGCUCAACGGUGAAAGGUUAAUCCCAACGCCACAGCCUGGAAGAGGAAUCUCGUGCGGAUCCGGAAGCUGGGUUCUUGGUCGGGGGUCCGGACGACGGGCGUCAUCACGCCCUGGCAGUCCAGCCUCUUUGCUUUCUACAACCUCAACGAGACGGUGAGGGACAUGGAGCAGCAGCUGGUGUACCUGCAGGACAGCUUCGGGCUGAAGACGCUGGACGCCCGCGGUGCCAUCGCCCGGUGCCAGGUGCCCGGGGUGCCGCACACGGCCUGGCACUCCAACCGCACCGUCUACGAGAGCUGUCUGGCCCCCUGGCUCUCCUAGCGGGGGGCCGGGGGGGGCAGGGGGCCCUGCCUUUUAAAUUACAACCCCCAGGCAAUGCGAUCCUGCUUGGUACCAGCUGGGUGUUCGGGGCAGGGGGGUUACCUAGGGAGGAUCUGGGGG